UUGGAGUCAUACACCUAGGUUGGAAUCCUAGU
rnacentral:piRNA from 2 species